rnacentral:rRNA from 1 species
AUUAGAGUGCUCAGAGCAGGUGUGACGCCUGAACGAUGGUGCAUGGAAUAAUGGAAUAGGACCUCGGUUCUAAUUUGUUGGUUUUCGGAAUACGAGGUAACGAUUAAGGGAGCAGACGAGGACAUUCGUAUUGUGAGGCUAGAGGUGAAAUUCUUGGGAAGUCACAAAGUUCUCCAUCUUUCUGCUGAUUUCAUA